rnacentral:tRNA from 1 species
GUUAGAUUAGUUUAUUAAAAUAUUAAAUUGUGGGUUUAAAGUAAAGUUAAGACUUAUCUAACA